CUUGGAAACAUCACCACUCUCAAAAGUUUGGUAUUGGAGUUCAAUGAACUAUCUGGAAAUCUUCCUCCAGAGCUUGGGAAUCUUAUUCAGAUUGAAAGACUGCAUCUAACCUCCAACUAUUUCACUGGAGAGUUACCU